UUUUAUAAGGAUAACUACGGAAAAGCUGUAGCUAAUACCUUGUGAAAAUACUUUUGAUAUAUACAUAUGUAUGUAUCAUUAAGGUAUGUAUUUGUUAGAUAUAAGAAUAAAAUAAAUAUAAUUGAAUUAUAACAAAGAAGAAACACAUAAAAUAUGUGUAUUAUCAAUCGAGUAUCUGACCUAUCAGCUUUUGAUGUUAGGGUAUUGGCCUAACAUGGC
rnacentral:rRNA from 1 species